AUACGGAGGGUGCAAGCGUUAAUCGGAAUUACUGGGCGUAAAGCGCGCGUAGGCGGCUUGGUCAGUCGGAUGUGAAAGCCCCGGGCUUAACCUGGGAAUUGCACUCGAUACUGCCAAGCUAGAGUAUGGGAGAGGGAAGUGGAAUUUCCGGUGUAGCGGUGAAAUGCGUAGAUAUCGGAAGGAACACCAGUGGCGAAGGCGACUUCCUGGCCCAAUACUGACGCUCAGGUGCGAAAGCGUGGGUAGCGAACAGGAUUAGAAACCCCGGUAGUCC
rnacentral:rRNA from 1 species